rnacentral:misc_RNA from 1 species
GAUGAAGAACGUAGCGAAAUGAGAUACGUAAUGUGAAUUGCAGAAUUCAGUGAAUCAUCGAAUCUUUGAACGCACAUUGCGCCUGCCAGCACUCUGGCAGGCAUGCCUGUUCGAGCGUCAUUUCAACCAUCAAGCCCUAGGCUUGCGUUGGAGCCCUGCGGCUGCCGCAGGCCCCUAAAAGCAGUGGCGGGCUCGCUAUCACACCGAGUGCAGUAGAUUACUCUUCGCUCAGGGCGUGUGGCGGGUUCCAGCCGUGAAACCCCCUACUUCUCAAGGUUGACCUCGGAUCAGGUAGGAAUACCCGCUGAACUUAAGCAUAUCAAUAAGCGGAGGA